rnacentral:sRNA from 1 species
GCUGGAUGUGCUCGUGUAAACCUGUAAUCCCAGCAGCUUGGGAGGCUGAGGUAGGAGGAUUGCUUGAGUUCAAAGCCAACCUCAGCAAAAGUGAGGUGCUAAGAAACUCAGUGAGACCCUGUCUCUA